rnacentral:rRNA from 1 species
CAGUCGACGGGAUUCAGUCGACGGGAUUCAGGGUAGCAAUACUUUGAUGAGAGUGGCGCACGGGUGCGUAACACGUAUGCAACCUACCUUAAACCGGGACAUAACCUCGGGAAAUCGUGGCUAACAUCCCAUAAUAUCUGUGGAUCGCAUGUUUUACAGAUUAAAAUUCCGAUGGUUUAAGAUGGUCAUGCGCGACAUUAGCUAGUUGGUGAGGUAACGGCUCACCAAGGCCACGAUGUCUAGGGGGUCUGAGAGGAUGAUCCCCCACACUGGUACUGAGACACGGACCAGACUCCUACGGGAGGCAGCAGUAAGGAAUAUUGGGCAAUGGGCGCAAGCCUGACCCAGCCAUGCCGCGUGCAGGAUGACAGCCCUACGGGUUGUAAACUGCUUUUAUACGGGAAAAAGCCCCCCGACGUGUCGGGGGCUGAUGGUACCGUAAGAAUAAGCAUCGGCUAACUCCGUGCCAGCAGCCGCGGUAAUACGGAGGAUGCAAGCGUUAUCCGGAUUUACUGGGUUUAAAGGGUGCGCAGGCGGAACAAUCAGUCAGUGGUGAAAUCUCCCGGCUUAACCGGGAAACUGCCGUUGAUACUAUUGUUCUUGAGUCCAGUUGUAGUAGGCGGAAUGUAGCAUGUAGCGGUGAAAUGCUUAGAAUAUGCUACAGAACACCGAUAGCGAAGGCAGCUUACUAAACUGAGACUGACGCUCAGGCACGAAAGCGUGGGUAGCAAACAGGAUUAGAUACCCUGGUAGACCACGCCCUAAACUAUGAUCACUCGUUGUUGGCAAUAUAUCGUCAGCGACUAAGCGAAAGCAUUAAGUGAUCCCCACCUGGGGGAGUACGAUCGCAAGGUUGAAACUCAAAGGAAUUGACGGGGGGCCCGCACAAGCGGAGGAGCAUGUGGUUUAAUUCGAUGAUACGCGAGGAACCAUACCUGGGGCUAGAACGCAGAAACGAUGUUUCGGGGAAACCGGAAUUCUCUUCCGGAGCGGU